rnacentral:rRNA from 1 species
AUCCACCUGGGGAGUACGAUCGCAAGAUUGAAACUCAAAGGAAUUGACGGGGGCCCGCACAAGCGGAGGAACAUGUGGUUUAAUUCGAUGAUACGCGAGGAACCUUACCUGGGCUUAAAUGUAGAACGACGGAUCGGGAAACUGAUCUUUCUUCGGACGGUCUGCAAGGUGCUGCAUGGCUGUCGUCAGCUCGUGCCGUGAGGUGUCGGGUUAAGUCCCAUAACAAGCGCAACCCUCAUCAUUAGUUGCCAGCGAGUAAUGUCGGGGACUCUAAUGAAACUGCCGGUGUAAACCGUGAGGAAGGUGGGGAUGACGUCAAGUCAGCACGGCCCUUAUGUCCAGGGCUACACACGUGUUACAAUGGUCGGUACAAAGGGCAGCUACCUGGUGACAGGAUGCUAAUCUCUAAAGCCGAUCUCAGUUCGGAUCGAAGUCUGCAACUCGACUUCGUGAAGCUGGAUUCGCUAGUAAUCGCGCAUCAGCCAUGGCGCGGUGAAUACGUUCCCGGGCCUUGUACACACCGCCCGUCAAGCCAUGGAAGCUGGGGGUACCUGAAGU